rnacentral:lncRNA from 1 species
GUCGCUGUCCAGCAGCGACUUGGUGUUGGCAGUCAGGAACUCCAUGGCGAAGUGCACGCCCGAGGCCUCGCGGCCGGGCACGGGCAGGUCACGCGGCUUGGUGGCGCCGGCCGCCAGCACCACGGCGUCGUGCUUGCCCACCAGGUCCUGCGCCGUGACGUUGCCGCCCACGUGGGCGUUCAUCACGAACUUGACGCCCUCCGCCGCCAUCAGGUCCACACGGCGCUGCACCACGUCCAGCUUGCCGGCCUUCAUGUUGGGCACGCCGUACAUCAUCAGGCCGCCGGCGCGGUCCGCGCGCUCGUACACGGUCACCUCGUGGCCCAUCUUGUUCAGCUGGUCGGCCGCUGCCAGGCCGGCGGGGCCGCUGCCCACCACGGCCACCUGCUUGCCGGUGCGCAG